UACAGAGGUCCCGAGCGUUGUUCGGAUUCAUUGGGCGUAAAGGGUGCGUAGGCGGCGCGGUAAGUCGGGUGUGAAAUCUCGGAGCUUAACUCCGAAACUGCAUUCGAUACUGCCGUGCUUGAGGACUGGAGAGGAGACUGGAAUUCCUGGUGUAGCGGUGAAAUGCGCAGAUAUCAGGAAGAACACCCGUGGCGAAGGCGGCUCUCUGGGACGGUACUGGACGCUGAGACGCGAAAGCGUGGGAGCGAACAGG
rnacentral:rRNA from 1 species